CUCCUGGCCUCGGCCCUAGAAUGAAGGUUUUUCUCUCUGACUAAGACUUCCCCGAUGCAGAAUUCCAGCAGACUCUCAAUAGAUGAUGCUGAAAGCACAGACUGCCAAAGGAAAGGCCCAUUUUCUUCCAGCUCUCCUCUUCUCAAGAGCAAAAAGAGAUGCUGCUGAAUCUUUAAAUCUUACUUCUACAAGAUACUAGAAGGUCCCAGUGGCUCUUGAGUUUAGAGUCAAGAAGAAUGACAGCUUUUCAGAAACUUGAGAUGGAAGGUACCUUGGCAGCCCAUCCGAACUUGGACAGAAGUCCUUAUUGCAGCAAACCCAACAAAUGUUCCUUCAGUUCUUGUUUGAAAAUCUCUUCUUUGAAGGAAGGGAAGUUCACCGUCUCCCUCGAGGCAGCCCCCUUUACUUUGGAAUAGCCCCUAAAUGCCAGGAAGUUGCUCCUUACUCCAGUAGUUCUUCCUGAGGUACUAAUGAAGUGUGAGCUAUAAAGCUGAUUGAAUCUCAAAGGAUGGUCCGUUUCUGGGUAAGGAGGUUUCCUGGGAGCGUGAUUGUGGUGGAGCGAAGACCAAGGAACACAGCUGGUGGGAAAAUCUCAAGCUUUACCUGUCUGUCCUUAUGACAGUACAGAAUAGGAAGGAAAGUUACAUGGAAAUUUGUUUUGAAGUCCAGUUCCAUGAAACGAGUGAACCUCUGAAUUGGAAGGAACCUCAGAAGACAUGUUCAAUACGUUCUUGACCAAGCAUUCAUCUCCUCUGGAAUUUCCUAAAUGAGAAGACACAGAUUUCCAAAUCAGGGCCGUUCCAAUCAGAAUUGGCCAUUA